GUCGAAUGCGAGUCUGCCCUUCGGGGUGGAAGUAGCAUGGCAGACGGGUGAGGAACACGUAUCUGACCGGACUCCUGGUGGGGGAUAGUCCUGCGAAAGUGAGUUGAAUACCGCAUACGCUGGGGGAAGGAAUUUCUUUAGGAAAGUUAGCCUCUGCGAGCAAGCUGACGACGGGAGACGGGGAUGCGGCCUAUUAGCUAGUUGGUGGGGUAAUGGCCUACCAAGGCGACGAUGGGUAGCUGGUCUGAGAGGAUGAUCAGCCACACUGGAACUGCGACACGGUCCAGACUCCUACGGGAGGCAGCAGUGGGGAAUUUUGCCCAAUGGGCGCAAGCCUGAGGCAGCAACGCCGCGUGAGUGAUGACGCCCUUCGGGGUGUAAAGCUCUUUCGAGAGGGACGAAGGCCAGAAGGUGAAGAGCCUUUUGGGAUGACGGUACCUGGGGAAGCAGCCCCGGCUAACUCCGUGCCAGCAGCCGCGGUAAGACGGAGGGGGCAAGCGUUGUUCGGAAUGAUUGGGCGUAAAGCGCACGUAGGCGGCGCAUCAAGUGCCACGUGAAAGCCCUUGGCUUAACUGGG
rnacentral:rRNA from 1 species